GCGGUGUACAAACGGAGAGGCUAGCACUGCCCCCGACCAGGGUGGAAGAGGCCCUCGGGCCUGUACACCACACACAGUUAGGGCAUUGCCACUACUUCGUGGAACCUAGACGCUAUUUG
rnacentral:ncRNA from 1 species